UUAUAUAUUGAAUCCCUUUUCUAAGCAAUACCGCUCUGUUAUUGGUCUGUUAUAUACUAAAUACUAAACUAAAUACUAAACAGAUACAGAUCAAAGGGGUAUCCUCUGGCAUUAGAAAAUAUUCAUCUUGACAAGAAAUUAUCUAUAUGUUAAGAUAUCUCUGACAAGGGCUAUAGCUCAGUUCGGUAGAGCAACUCGUUUACACGUGCGCCAAUGCUUUUCAAAGGAGCUUAUUAUGCAAUGAACAUAAUCGAUCUUAUUGCAAAAUCAAUGUCUUACUUCAUAGAUUCGAGAGAAUAGGAGAACAGUAGCUUGACAAACAGUCGGUUCAGUCCGAUUCAGGUGCCAAUUCAGGUGCCUAAUCAAAUAGAACCCUUAUGGAUUUGCUAGUUGAUAAGGUAAAUAUCCAGCCCACUAAAUGCUAGGCGUAAUGAGGAUAAGGGCCUCCAAAAAACUUCUUUUCGUUCUAUGAACUUUAAGGUGUAUGAAGUCUCAUAGUUAACUCUUGCAGUGGAACGAUAGAGACUCCAUUUCACUUAGGUUGAUUUAAUUUAGACCGGAGGCAGACCUAAGUCAAGGUAAUCCUCCUUUGAAACACUUUGGUAUUGCUCCUAGAUAGAUCAUAAUAAAAAAAAAUCAAUCAGAGCACAGGGAGCCAUCUCAUUAUCUUUCCGUAAAGAAAAAGUAUGGUGGACUAACUGAUCUUUAAAUCAGUUUAUGAAAGAGCCCAAUGCAAAAAAUGCAUGUUGGGUCUUUGAAACAGUUCAAAUCAUUUCGAUAAUAAUCCGUUUGAUCUGUUUUACCAAGAAGGUCUACGGUUCGAAUCCGUAUAGCCCUAAUAUGCCCUUUUUUAGAUUUUAGGAUCUCUAUCCUAUGUUUUCUUUAGUUUAGUAUAGUUUUCAUUUUCUCAUUAGUAUUUGUUUAUAGACUGGAUAGGCGCCUGCGACAUAGAAUAGAGAUAAAAGCAUUACAAAAGGCUCAUUCAUCGAAAAUCAAAAUCAUACAGUCAGGAAAAGAAAAACGAAUUUCUAUCAAAUCAAUAGAAGAAAGGAUCCUUUCCCUGAUUUGAAUCCCGUCCUCCUUCAAAUAGGAUAUCUCUAGACUUCCCUAUAAUAACUGCAAUGAUUUUAUCCAUUUUGUGAAUUCCUACUUUGUUUUAAGUAUAUUUAUUACUUUGUUUAUAGAUACAUUAUGUAAAUUGAUCAACUUUAAAUAGAAAAAAUAAAGUAAAGAGUAAAUAAGAAAACAGAAUAUUCUGUCUCAUAGUUCUGAAAUAGAGUUCUUUAUUUUUAUUUUAUAGUAUUACUUCUCAUUAAUUAUACUGCAUAGAUUAGUCCUACUAUCUUAAUUAGGUUCUAAUUUAGUAGUAUUCUCAUUUUUAUUUAAUAGUCUCUUAUUAUUUUAUUAUUAAAUAUUAAAUAAAGGAUAGAGCUAUUCUUUUUUCUAGAGAUUCUAGAGAAAGCGAGACAAAGUGAAACGAGAAAGUUUUCUUUAUAUAAGAAUUAGAUCUACAUACACCAUAUCUAAAUAGAAUGGAAAUCCAAAAGAAAGGGAGUUGGGAUUCCAUUGGAUGAAUCUUUAAAGAAGAUGCAGCACAGAGGAAACAAAGGCUAAACUAAGCGCUUUUGUUUGAACAAAAAAGAUUCUUGUUUCACAGAGGAAAAGAGAGAAGUUCUGGAUAAAUUGACAAUGCUGAAUUGAAUUGACUAAUUUAAGUUCCGCCUAUUCCACAUUAAUGGGAGUACAUUAUGUUUCUGCUUCACGAAUAUGAUAUUUUUUGGACAUUUCUAAUAAUAGCAAGCCUUAUUCCUAUUUUGGCAUUUUCGAUUUCAGGACUUUUAGCCCCGGUUAGUGAAGGACCAGAGAAGCUUUCUAGUUAUGAAUCGGGUAUAGAACCCAUGGGAGGGGCUUGGGUACAAUUCCGAAUACGCUAUUAUAUGUUUGCGCUCGUUUUUGUUGUUUUUGAUGUGGAAACCUUCUUUCUAGAGAUUCUAGAGAAAGCGAGACAAAGUGAAACGAGAAAGUUUUCUUUAUAUAAGAAUUAGAUCUACAUACACCAUAUCUAAAUAGAAUGGAAAUCCAAAAGAAAGGGAGUUGGGAUUCCAUUGGAUGAAUCUUUAAAGAAGAUGCAGCACAGAGGAAACAAAGGCUAAACUAAGCGCUUUUGUUUGAACAAAAAAGAUUCUUGUUUCACCGAGGAAAAGAGAGAAGUUCUGGAUAAAUUGACAAUGCUGAAUUGAAUUGACUAAUUUAAGUUCCGCCUAUUCCACAUUAAUGGGAGUACAUUAUGUUUCUGCUUCACGAAUAUGAUAUUUUUUGGACAUUUCUAAUAAUAGCAAGCCUUAUUCCUAUUUUGGAUUUCCAUUCUAUUUAGAUAUGGUGUAUGUAGAUCUAAUUCUUAUAUAAAGAAAACUUUCUCGUUUCACUUUGUCUCGCUUUCUCUAGAAUCUCUAGAAAAAAGAAUAGCUCUAUCCUUUAUUUAAUAUUUAAUAAUAAAAUAAUAAGAGACUAUUAAAUAAAAAUGAGAAUACUACUAAAUUAGAACCUAAUUAAGAUAGUAGGACUAAUCUAUGCAGUAGAAUUAAUGAGAAGUAAUACUAUAAAAUAAAAAUAAAGAACUCUAUUUCAGAACUAUGAGACAGAAUAUUCUGUUUUCUUAUUUACUCUUUACUUUAUUUUUUCUAUUUAAAGUUGAUCAAUUUACAUAAUGUAUCUAUAAACAAAGUAAUAAAUAUACUUAAAACAAAGUAGGAAUUCGCAAAAUGGAUAAAAGCAUUACAAAAGGCUCAUUCAUCGAAAAUCAAAAUCAUACAGACAGGAAAAGAAAAACGAAUUUCUAUCAAAUCAAUAGAAGAAAGGAUCCUUUCCCUGAUUUGAAUCCCGUCCUCCUUCAAAUAGGAUAUCUCUAGACUUCCCUAUAAUAACUGCAAUGAUUUUAUCCAUUUUGCGAAUUCCUACUUUGUUUUAAGUAUAUUUAUUACUUUGUUUAUAGAUACAUUAUGUAAAUUGAUCAACUUUAAAUAGAAAAAAUAAAGUAAAGAGUAAAUAAGAAAACAGAUUA
rnacentral:lncRNA from 1 species